rnacentral:rRNA from 1 species
UACGAAGGGGGCUAGCGUUGCUCGGAAUCACUGGGCGUAAAGGGUGCGUAGGCGGGUCUUUUAAGUCAGGGGUGAAAUCCUGGAGCUCAACUCCAGAACUGCCUUUGAUACUGAAGAUCUUGAGUUCGGGAGAGGUGAGUGGAACUGCGAGUGUAGAGGUGAAAUUCGUAGAUAUUCGCAAGAACACCAGUGGCGAAGGCGGCUCACUGGCCCGAUACUGACGCUGAGGCACGAAAGCGUGGGGAGCAAGCA